rnacentral:rRNA from 1 species
ACCUCUAGCAUAACUAGUAUUAGAGGCACUGCCUGCCCAGUGACCAUGUUAAACGGCCGCGGUAUCCUGACCGUGCAAAGGUAGCAUAAUCACUUGUUCUCUAAAUAAGGACUAGUAUGAAUGGCUAAACGAGGACUUUACUGUCUCUCAUCUGUAAUCAGUGAAAUUGACCUUCCCGUGAAAAGGCGGGAAUAAUAAAAUAAGACGAGAAGACCCUAUGGAGCUUCAAUUACCAGCUUAAAAUUAUCCACACACACACUUCUAAGGAAAUAAAAACUAAUUAUAUAAGCAACUAAUUUUGGUUGGGGUGACCUCGGAGAAAAAAAUAACCUCCGAGCGGUUUAAAUCCAGACUGACAAGUCUAAAUAAUCCAUCAAUUGAUCCAAUAUUUGAUCAACGGAACAAGUUACCCUAGGGAUAACAGCGCAAUCCUAUUCAAGAGUCCCUAUCGACAAUAGGGUUUACGACCUCGAUGUUGGAUCAAGACAUCCCAAUGGCGCAGCUGCUAUUAAC